rnacentral:rRNA from 1 species
ACCGGCAGCUCAAGUGGUGGCCAUUUUUAUUGGGCCUAAAGCGUUCGUAGCCGGCUUGAUAAGUCUCUGGUGAAAUCCCACGGCUUAACCGUGAGACUUGCUGGAGAUACUAUUAGACUCGAGGCCGGGAGAGGUUAGCGGUACUCCAAGGGUAGGGGUGAAAUCUUGUAAUCCUUGAAGGACCACCUGUGGCGAAGGCGUCUAACUAGAACGGACCUGACGGUAAGUGACGAAAGCCAGGGGCACGAACCG